GAGCGCAAUAGAUAGCGCGUUGGACUUCUAAUCCAAAGGUCGUGGGUUCGAAUCCCACCUGGAAUCCCA
rnacentral:tRNA from 1 species